CUUCUCCUCACAUCUUCUCUUGACCUAAUUUUCCUUACGGCGGCUGCGGCAAUUUUUUCACCUUCUCUGGACUGGUUUGGAUUUGACGUGGCUGGGAGAGACUUUCGGUUUUAUUUACCUUUGUUAGGCAACAUGCAGAAUGAAAGAAGUUGGAUGUAUAAUAAAAAUUUACCUGACCGUGGGGGUUUAACUGAUGAGUUUAUUACUGGGUUGAGACAGUUUUUAAAUUUUGCAUCUAGUAAUGUUGAGUUUAUGGAUGGUAAUCAGAUACGAUGUCCAUGCAGAAAGUGUCAUAAUGGAAAAUUUUUACCAUCUAAUAAAGUUUCAGAGCAUCUUUGUAGAUUUGGUUUUACUCCGAAUUACUAUAAUUGGACAUGUCAUGGUGAACCAUUCAUAUCUGAUGAGG